rnacentral:rRNA from 1 species
AACGAACGCUGGAGGCAGGCCUAACACAUGCAAGUCGAACGCCCUAGCAAUAGGGAGUGGCGCACGGGUGCGUAACACGUGGGAAAGUACCCCGGAGUAAGGAAUAAUGACUGCAAACGGACCAAAAUACCUUAUAAUGACUUUGGGGCAACGAGUUAGCGCCCUGGGAUCAGCCCGCGUCAGAUUAGCUAGCUGGUGAGGUAAUGGCUCACCAAGGCAAAGAUCAGUAGCUGGUCUGAGAGGAUGAUCAGCCAACCUGGAUCUGAGACACGGUCCAGACUCCUGCGGGAGGCAGCAGUGAGGAAUAUUGCACAAUGGAGGAAACUCUGAUGCAGCGAUGCCGCGUGAGUGAAGAAGGCCUUCUGGUUGUAAAGCUCGUGUAGUGGUGAAGAUGAUGACGGUAGCGACAGAAAAAGUGCCGGCUAAAUUCGUGCCAGCCGCCGCUGUAA